rnacentral:rRNA from 1 species
UGAGGAACAUGACCUUCGGCGGGGGAUAGCCGGCCCAACGGCCGGGUAAUACCGCGUACGACCUUUCGGGGACAUCCCCGGCUGGUGAAAGCAGCAAUGCGCCGAAGGAGUGCCUCGCGGCCUAUCAGCUAGUUGGUGAGGUAACGGCUCACCAAGGCGACGACGGGUAGCUGGUCUGAGAGGAUGGCCAGCCACAUUGGGACUGAGACACGGCCCAGACUCCGUACGGGAGCAGCAGG